CACACUCACCUGAGUGAAAGCCCACUGAUU
rnacentral:piRNA from 1 species